GAAACCCCAUCUCUACUAAAAAUACGAAAAUUACCCGGGCGUGGUGGCGCGUGCUUGUAAUCCCAGCUACUUGGGAGGCUGAGGCAAGAGAAUCACUUAAACCCGGAAGGCAGUGAGCCGAGACUGUGCUACUGACUCCAGCCUGGGCAAUAGAGCAAGAUUACGUCUCAGAAAAAAAGAAGGAAAAGAAAGAUACCGGGCUCAGUGGCUCACGCUUGUAAUCCUAGCACUUUGGAAGGCCGAGGUGGGUAAAUCGCGAGGUCGGGAGUUCAAGACCAGCCUGGCCAAGAUAGUGAAAUCCCGUCUCAACUAAUAAUACAAAACUUAGGCUGGGCGCGGUGGCUCACGCCUGUAAUCCUAGCACUUUGGGAGGCCGAGGUGGGUGGAUCACGAGGUGAGGAGAUAGAGACCAUCCUGGCUAACAUGGUGAAACCCCGUAUCUACUAAAAAUACAAAAAAAAAAAAAUUAGUCGGGCGUGGUGGCGGGCACCUGUAAUCCCAGCAUUUUGGGAGGCCAAGAUGGGCGGAUCACCUGAGGUCAAGAGUUCAAGACCAGCCUGACCACCAUGGUGAAACCUCGUCUCUACUAAAAAUACAAAAAUUAGCUGGGCAUGGUGGCAGGCGCCUGUAAUCCCAACUGGUCGGGUGGCUGGGGCAGGAGAAUCCCUUGAACCCAGGAGGUGGAGUUUGCAGUGAGGUGAGAUUGCACCAGUGCACUCCGGCUUGGGGCACAGAGCAAGACUCUGUCUCAAAAAAAGCCAAAAAAAAAAAGUUUCAUCUGUGUUAAAGGUUUGACCCAUAAAGGAAAAGUCACUCGGCUUCCACAGGUCUUGCUAGCUCUUGGGCAAUAAAUCUGGCCAAGACUGAUUUGUGCAAGGUCACAGAGGAACUGGAAGGAAGCUGCAAGUCAGCAAUCUAGCAGAAAACGGGGCAACACAACUUGGUUUGCAGAUCAUUUCCAGCAUCUUCAAGCUAAUGUUCUUCCAACUGCCAGCUUCAAGUUCUUAGGUGUAUUGUCUACAUUGUUGAAAGACUUGCUAGUCUUGGCCAUCUGGUGUUCCUGUCAGUGGACCCUUAGGGAAGAAACCAAAUUCAGCAGCCUACAAGACUUGGGAGGUGGCCGGGCGCGGUGGCUCAAGCCUGUAAUCCCAGCACUUUGGGAGGCCGAGACGGGCGGAUCAUGAGGUCAGGAGAUCGAGACCAUCCUGGCUAACACAGUGAAACCCCGUCUCUACUAAAAAUACAAGAAAAUUAGCCGGGCGAGGUGGCGGGCGCCUGUAGUCCCAGCUACUCGGGAGGCUGAGGCAGGAGAAUGGCGUGAACCCGGGAGGGCGGAGCUUGCAGUGAGCCGAGAUCGCCACUGCACUCCAGCCUGGGGCACAGAGCAAGACUCCGCGU
rnacentral:lncRNA from 1 species